UAUCUCCAUCAAUUCCCAGGAGAAGGCAUUAGAGAGAGAGAGAGAGAGCUCCUUACAAAUGGAUGGGGUUCUUCUAACUCUUAGAAGUGGUUGUGAUCACUCCAUGGUACUCAGUACUACAUUCACGAGGAACAGACAGUGACAGUUGAAUAAGACUUCUAUUUUCCUCGUUUUAUUACACUUUGUUUACAUUUGUUUGUUUCAGAUAAUCCUGAAGAGUCUCAUGGAUGUCUCAGGAAGGCUUACUGCUUAUUUGGCUCAUUGCAAUAAAAAGGCCCAAGCUGACAACAGAAGGGGACGCCGGCCUGAGGUAGGAGCUGAAGAACAAUUCUGAGAAGCCCUCCUGGAGGACUGAAGGGGACAUCAGCUCCAUCCUCCCGGCUAUGAGGUCUUCAUCCUCCCGGCUAUGGGGUCUUCACCCAAGGCUAUUUUGCUGAACUCUUAACUGAGUCACGGAGAGUAUUUACUAAUCAAAAAAUAAUUUUAUUGUGUUUUACGUUUAUGGCUUUUUGUUGCUGUUGUUUCAAAAGUUGUUUGUUGAUGAUUUUAUCUAAUGGAUAACUAUAGACCAGAACUUUUCCUUUGUAUUAUUCCUUUUUGUCAAUAAAGAGGUAAUAUUUUAAAAUCCAGA